CAAACGUUCCUGCACUCGUCCUUCAGAUUCAGCUUUUCAUUAAUGGUUUUGUUUACUUAUUUUUCUGUAAAAUAUUGAGUAGUUUAGUUAUGAAAGAUGUUGUUAAUUUUCUAUGUUUAGUUUAUAUCUUACUUUUUGUUGAAAAAUAGGAGCCUUUAGCACUCCCUAGAUCUGUUGGAGCUAAAUUUUUUCAAUUAAUUCAAUAUUUUAAGUCGUCAUAUCUCAAUACGCCAAACUGAUAAUUGAAACAUGAAAUAAAAAAAAAGUUACUCAUUUGAAAUAAUAAAGAAGUAUCUUGUUCAAAAUUGAUUUUAGAAUAAAACUUUUGUAGGGAUUUUGUUACAUAAACAAGUUAACGAGCAAAAAUUAUAUUCAAUUACCUGUACCAGAAUUAUGGAUGAAGGUUCAUGGUUCAUCGGUUAUCCCUAUACCUACUGAGAAAAAUUACUUUGAACGACCGUCGUGUGAUAUAUGACGUGUGUAUAAUUCCUUGUUGAUUUUUCACAAACUAUCAGUAUUUUCAGACACAGUUAAGGAUUAUUUUAGAUGGGGGGCCGCAUCAACAGAUCCUGCCGAUAUGCUGGACGCUGGCUGGUACCUCUACCAGGCGCUUACCCAGAAAAGUGUGUUGUGGGGGGCUCAGCUAUCAUCCUCUAAAAGAGGAAAAUCGAAAACAAUCACGACAACUGUCCCGGCAAUGAUCAGUGUGGAUCCUGCGGCCAAAGUAAUAUAAAGCCAAGGACCGGACCUAUUUUGUCCCUCACCAUUAGGAUCCAUCAACCUUCUCUGCUCAUUCAAUCCUGGA